ACCAGGAGCAUUUUCAUGGCCGGGGCGGCGGGCAGAGCUUCCCCGAAGCUCCGGCGCGCUCCUCAAGGGUCGGGAAGCCAGCGAUCAAGGAUCACAACAAACACGGAAAACUGGCUCUUGGAGAGAAACCGGCAUCAGACACAGGCGCUGUUUAAAUAUAAUAAAAAAAUAAUAUGGGGAGGAGGAGGGGGGAAAGAAAAAUAUUAAGAAAACCUGUGCGGAAAGGCGACAGAAGAAAAAAAAUCAUCCAUAAUAUUUGGCCGUGCUGGAAACGCUGACUCCUUUCCCUUGGAUUUGAGCAGUGAUGCAGCAGAAGCGCUCCCCGCUCGUUCUUGCUCCUUCUCUUCUCUCAGACUCUUUAAGAACAUUGGCUGGAAAAUCAUUUUCUUA